GAGAUCAAGACACUGGAUCACAUCAGAAUAAAGAUUCUGCAAUUGAAAAACUGACAGGUCAGACAACAUACACUUUUAUUUAUUUAUGUAAAUACAUUGCACUAUUUCAUGAAUAUGGCACAAAAAAAGAACAAACUCUUAUAAAAUAUGUUUUAAACCAAUGGUCAGCGAAAGCAAGUGCUUAACAUUGAGAAAACAUUAAUUGUCAAACUAUUUAUAGAAUCACCAUUUUACAUACAUUAAAUUUUUAAACUAGCUGCUUUUCAUGUGGAGAUAAUAGCCCAUCUAACAUAGUUGUCGGGGGUGGGGGGAGGGGGGGUUGGGUUUUGUGCUUCUAAUGCUUUACAAAUAAAAUUAACAUUAUUUAGUAAACUGUAUUGAUGGAAAGUAUCAACUGGUUUACAUCUAUUGUCAAAACUGAGCUCUUGUGUAUGUUGUAACUAUUUUAGGGUUAAAAGGAAAAGACAUUAAAUGAUAAAAGUAGUCUGGCAUGGCAGGGAGAGAUAAGUUUAGUGUAUAGAGAGAAAGAAAAAAAUUAAAAUGUGUCACAACACCCAAAUGUUAUAUUUAUAUUUGAAUUAUUUUCACCCAAAAGUUUCACAUUUUUCUGUAAAUCAAUAUUUAAUCUAAUUUUGUUUUCAGUUUUCCAAGAGCAGACCUUUAUUUCGGGCCGCAAUGUGACUUUACGAUGUGGCAAUCACACUGUUGUCAAGUGGAAUGAAUUCAUUUAUACCAUCUGGAACAUUAGCCUGCAAGAGAGAAAAUGUCGGCUUGGUUUGUCACCCAAGCUGGACGACACAUGCAAAGAUGGAAAGAAGCUGUACAACACUUCAGAUGGAGUUUCCAUAUUCAUUCCCAAGAUUUCAAUAGAAGAUGAAGGAUCUUACUUUUGUGAUGUAUCAUAUAAAGGAGGAAGCUAUUCACUAAAUGUGACUGUAAGCGUUACCAAUGUUUCCACCUGGCAGUACAACAAAAACAAUCAAAGAAUUGCUGUCUGUAAAUCCACAUAUAAAAUGAAAGCGCCCACUCUUCAUUGGGAACCUGCCUUGAACUUUUCCUCCAACAUCAGUUCUGUCAAGAAGCUUGGCAAGUUUUUUAUGCUGGAGAAUCAAGUAUAUCUGCCGGAAAAUCUCAUCAUCAGUGAGCUCGCUUGUGUGGCCACAUACACCUCUGAGUCCGGCCCUGUGCAGCAUAAAAGCACACUUCAUUUUACAGAAAUAACAUUUUGUCUCAGAAUGAAGGAAGAAACACCCACAAAGAGAUGAAGAAAUAUGGACGAUACACAGGAUGUGAACAGCUAAAACAAACACGGCAAGUGGAUUGGAGGGUGUGCCUGUGAACUGCUGACAUUAUUUUAACACAGAGCAUCUUAAGAAUUACAGCAAACGCACCAAAUAGUGCAUUAAAAAGUUUCGUUUAUCCUCUUAGUUUUAUUUUGUCUGAAAUGAAGAGGCAAUUACAUUUUUAUUUGGCCUCUGAGUUAUCAAAAAAAUAAAGUCCAAACAUUUUGCUUGUGCUAUUUUUCUUUUGUAUAAAUGCCACUCAAAUUGAUAUUUUGUUAUAUAAUGCAAUGUCAUUUAUAAAGUGUGGGACCCAAAGGAUCCAAAUGUUUUUGGGGCAAUUGUAAAACUAGCAGUUACAUGAAGAUGUCGCACAAAUGUCACAAAGUCCACAAAUCUUUUCUUAAAGAAAUAAGAAUGGAACUGAGAUGCAUAAAACACACUGUUCCAAAAACUACUGAGGCCUCCUGUUACCCUUUAUUUAUCGGUAAUCUGUUGUGAUUUCAUUAUUUGCACUUAUGCAAUAAAUUCCAAAGCCAUCAUUGUGUGUUUGCAAGAGAGAGUGAAAGAGAUUAUAUCUAUUCAGACUGAGGUCAGGUAGCAGCAUUACUCACCAGACAGCUCACCAUCAGCACUUUAUUUAACUUGUAUUGAUGAACUCAUUCAUCCUAACAUUUCAAACCCUGCACCCAUUACCCACUGCCUAAAAACCAACUCAGCUGAGUCUGAACCAUGAGCAUAACUGCAUAUUAUUAUUCUACAAAACUGAGGUUAUUGUGGUAUACUGUAGUGCUUAGUAAAGUGAGCUAGCAGUGACUGUAGUCCAGGACAUUGUGACUUUAUGGAAGGUCAUGAGAUUCACCGAAGACGAGCCCAGGAUUGUUUAUACUGAAAGGGCCUGAACAUUGGGUUUACAUCAUGGGAAAGCUGGAUUCAUUAAUUCAUGGCAGCCUUCUAGAAAAAAAUAGACACAUUUUCUGAAAUCACAUGCACUCAAUGACCACUCUUUAGCCUCUUUCACACAGCAAUACUGGUAAAUUGCUGUAAAAUUAUCAUAACGACUUUACUGGUAAAUACAAAGAUGUGCUGUUCACACAGGCAACGACGUUCCGUCUUUUUUUCCGGUAAAACGCCAUUCACACAUCAGUUUCAAAAUACCAGUAAAUUCUGUGACAUCAUUAACUGGAAUUGACUCCUAAAUGGCUGCACCUCCCCGGUGUUCUGUUUGUAAACAUUUUUUUAACAUUUUACUUUUUCAGUCUUGUGUCAAAUGUUCACAUUCAUGCAGUUGUUUUUGGCCCAGAAACAUCGUAUUAGAUUACUUCAAACCAAACUACACAGUGCAGAGUAAAUGCAUCAUCUGCGUCAGAAUGUAAUGAUUGGUCCAGAGUAGACGUCUUACGUCAGUGCGUUCUAAACUCGUACGUGUUCAUACUGGUAAUCUCAUUCUGCGUACACACAGAGCGCAUUACCGGUAAUGUUACAACUUCCCAUACCGCUAAAUUGCCUUAACAAAUUUACCGGUAUUUUGAAAAGGUCCUGUUCACACACGAUUUCUUAAUGGUAUUUACUGGUUAUUUAUCAGUAAAGACUGUGUGUGAAAGGGACAUUUGUCAAAUUCCUGCAGCUGCUUCAGAGUUGCUGUUGGUCACCUCUCUGUUUCCUCCUGACUCUUUCAUCCAGUUUGGAGCGACGUCCUGAUCCAGGGAGGGUCUGUACCAAAUACCUUCCACUUCUUAAUAACAGACUUCACUGGGCUUCUAGGCAUUGAUAAAGCCUUUGACAUUUUUUUUGUAUCCAUCUCCUGACUUGUGUCCAUCCACAACUUUAUUCCAGAGAUCUUUUCAUUCAGAGUUGAUUGUUUGCUUCACUUGCACUACCAAGAACUGAAAUGCUCCAGGAAAGCCCUUUUCAUGUUGAGUUGAUCAAAAUGACCACAGCUGAAUGUCAAAUGGCUUUGUGUGCCAUUGAGAAGGUGAUAAGCUGCACCUGAUUGAGUUCACAAGUAAUUUUUGAGGGGGGUGAUCCUUUUUACAGCCCUUUUUCUCACUUGGGUGUUAUAAGUUGCACUGAGUAAAUACAGCUGGAUAAAACAAAAACUGUGUCCCUCUUCAUUUUAGGCUGCAAAACAAAAAAUGUGAUUAUUUUAGGGGGGGGGUUCUUUUUUACCCACUGUAUACCCACACACACAUGUCUCUCUCUCGCUAUGUCUCUCUAUACUUUUAAGUACUGAGUAACAUUAAUUACAUACUACAUGAUUAGGGUUAGGACGAGGGUUUGGUUUAGGAGAAGUUGCAUAUAAUAAUGCAUAACUUAUUGUUGUUACUAUAGUAAGUACAUGUACGUGCAGCAACUCCAUACAAUAAAGUGUUACCAUACAUACACACAUCUAUCUAUCUAUCUAUCUAUCUAUCUAUCUAUACUGCCAUUCAAAAGUUUGGGAUCAGUAAGAUUGCUGAUGUUUUUAGAAAGAAAAGUAUCCUGAAGAAUCCUGAAAAAAGUUGUCUAAAAAGAGUUUACGCAAAACCUCACUUAUGACUACACCUCAAUUCUUGACAUUAACUUAAUGUGGAAAGUAACCUAAUUUGUCCAAUCUCUGAAUUCUCCAUUGACACUGAAAUGCGUAAGAGGUUUUUUUACGACACCACUUGGGUCAGAGAAGUGAAGACAAGGAUACUCGACUUUACGCUCGUUUCUCCUCUCAUUUGCAAAUCAUGAUAUUUUAGUCAUCUGACAUUUUUACUGCUAAUAACACAGAUGUACAAAAAAUACCUUUACCUUUUUCAAAGGUCAUCCACAACUGUUAAAAAUAUAGGAUAAGUCAUUAGGAUUUCUCUUCGGGGGUGCAACUGAAACAAGGAAUCCACAAUAAUACACUCAAGUGAAAAGAAUAUCUACAUGAUGUGCCAGUAAACAACUCAGCUGAGGAUAAACAACAUUACGAGCCUCAUUGCCUCAACAUAAGUGACCCCUGCAGGGCAUUCUUGUGUUAGAAGAACACAACUACCCUUUUCACCUUUCAGCACAAGAUGUGAAUUAUCCAAGCAGCUAAAAUUCAAUGUCUUAAUGAGUUAUUUAUAUAUAUUAAAAACUACAGGGAUUCACAUGUGUUUAGAUCGAACGACAGUAGGCUACACUAUUUAUAUUUAAUAAUUAAGCUCAAAUUGAAGAUUGACAAGAAGGGAGAAACACAAAAUAACACAUUUGUUGCAUUAUACCUCAUUUGACGUAUAUAUGCAGAUGAUUCUGUAAGGAUGUUUUGAGAUUUUGCUGUCAAGUGAUCUACAUAGCAAACACAAUAUAACAAAGAAAAAAAUGCUUUGUUAAAAUUAGCUAUGCAGCCAAUCUUCUAAUAAAUAAAUACAUAAAUCUGAAUGCAAAAAUCCCAGUUCAUUUAAUUUUGCAAGAUAUUAUAAGACACUAUAACUCUCUGAGCACUCCAAACACACACACACACACACACACACACACACACAAAUGGAAGAUUAGCCUAGCCAACUAGUCUAGAAAACAUGUUUCUCCUGUCUUUUCAUGCUACCAAAGGCCACCAAGCGUCUUCAAAGUGCAACAAUAUGCAGACAUUGCGCGACCCUGUGGCAAACGUUAAAAGGAUUGGCUCAUGAAUAUUAAUUGACUUUUGCGUACCGAGACACUCUAUUGGAUGAUAGUGGAACCACGUCACAGUGAGGCAAUUCAUUUUCAUGAGCUAGGUCUCCGCCACAGAAGCGUCACUGGUCCUGCACAACUCACUACAACACUUAUCUGAAUAACUUUUCCAGCAGCCCAGACUUUUAUUCUUUAAAAACUAUCAUAAGAUAAUAUAACUAUUAAGAAACAUAUUCAUAGUGCUCUACCAGCC
rnacentral:lncRNA from 12 species